UGCAUUUCCGUUUGACUACCUCGCAUAUUCUUUCCAAGUCUUCUUCAAAAAAUUGUAAACCUCUCUAAAAAAAUUUCGUUGAAUUUCAAAAUAAGUACCAGGGAAAGCUCUUUCAAAUCUUCUCCCUUCAAAACAAUAAUUCUCUUUCUUCAAAAAGCUCCUAACAAAUCUUCUAUCGAAAAAACCCUCCACCACUCUCUCAAUUUUCUAAUUAGGACCCUAAUUUUUUGAACAUGAACCAUUAUCACAUCUACAACUCCUUCAGUCGUGGCAAUACUUGGAAGAAAGAAGAAGACAUCUGAGCAUUCCACAAUCAAAAGCACUGGUAAAAUGAUUAUCAACCUUCUGGAAUCAAUGACUUGAAAUUUACUAUAUUUUCAAGUUCAUGCUUUUAUGAGAACAUAGCUUGGAUGGAGUUCCAUAACAACACUGAUAGUAAGUUUGGUGGUGGAACUCUCCAUAUUAAGAAAGAGUGGGCAGGAAGAAGGGAAGUAAGAAAAAAAGACAGAUUCUGCUAUGGUCUGGAUCUCUCCAUAUCAAGGUAAUAACUUUGGUUUUUUUUUUUUUUGUAUUUAUUUUUUAAAAAAUGUUUUGGAGUGUUUUAGAAUCUGAGUAUUACUUGGUUUUAGUUAAAGGUACUUAACUUUUGAAUUUCUUUGAGGUUUAUGGAAUAUUUCACUUUCGGGGUAUUGUUUGGUUUGAGUUGAAAGUGAUUAAACUUUGAAUUCUUUUUAUUCAUUUUAGUUUCUAUGGGUUUUUAUAGAGAGAGGAAAGUGAUUAAUUUAGGUUUGUUUUUUUUUUUUUUCUUUUUUCUACUUAAUUUGUGGAAUUUAUAGUCUGAUUUCAUAUGUUUUUCCCCUAGUUUUAGCUAUAUAUUCUCCUAAAAUUUGAGUUAUAGUAUUUGGUAAAGUUAGAGAACAUUUAUUGAAACAAUUUUUAGUAUAGGAUAUUUGCAUAACUUAAGAAUAGAAUGAUGCAACUUGUUUCCUAUGGGUGGUAGUAGAAUUGAUUAGAGUUUCAAGAAUAAAAUGAUGUAAAAAUUAUAUGUGAUAUGAAUGCGAUUGUUUAGGUUAGCCAAGUCCAUAGUUGGAUGUGUGUGGAUUUUUUUUGUCUUUGCAACUCUAUACAUUAUUACUUUGGAUUAUUAUUUUUUCUCAACAGCAUAUACUUGAAAUCAAGCAGUGAGAAGAAAGAGUCGAGUAUGAAUAUGCAAGUUUCCAUUCUUAGUUACUUUGACUUAGAAAAUGACAUCUUGAUUAAACAAUAACACUCAAAUAGAUUUAUAAUUUUUAAAUUAGUCUCAAACAACAUCUUUUGUCUUUUACACGUUUGUGUCAGCAAUGAUGCAGAUGUUCCUACUUCUUAUUGCAAAUACACGUUCAAUUGGUAGAACAAUGUUGUCUUGCUUGAUUUGUUAUUAAACUUGGGUGAUUUUAGCUAUUUUUUCGACUUUUCAUGACUCUUAAAGGUAAAUUAACAAGCAUGUGGAAUUGCUCCUCAUUUAGCACAUGGAUAACUUAGGUUUGUGAUAUUAAUAUUGCUUAAUGUUUAAACAAAUCUCACUUGGUUUGUCAAAAAACUUUUUGAUUUUAGGCUUUUUAAGCAUUUCUCAUUCCUUAAAAUUUUUAAACCAAGUUUUUUGUUCAUUUAGGUAUGUAGCUAACUUAAAUUGAUAAAUUAAACUUACUCAAAUGUUAAAUAUGGUAGUGAGCUUUUUUUUUUUUUUUCACUACCAUUCUUAGCAUUAUUAGUUAUUAAAACCGAUUGUUGGUUGAAUUGCAAGAAGAAUUUUUAUUGGUUGAAUUGGUAAAGUGAGAUUCUGCAUUUUUUUAUUAAUUAUUUCUAUUCUUUUUUUUGGGUCAAAUUUGAUGUAUAAUUAGACUGCUUUUUUCUACCCCUUUUAUAACUUUUAAGGGUAAAUUUUCAAGUUUAUACAGUUAUUCCUCAUUUUCAAGCAUGUUUUAUUUCUUCAAUUUUUCUAUUAACUAUUUUUGUUGCUUAAGGGUAUGCCAUGUAAAGGGGUUUAAAUCUUUCAUGACAAGAUAAAAAUUUUAUCACAUUGAGUCUCUAAAUGCUUUAAAUAUAAAAUUGUCAAAUUGAUUUUGUUGUUAAUGCAUUGUAAUGCAUUUUAAUUGACUAGGCUCAAACCCAAAAGAUAAAAAUUGUUGAAUUGAUUUUAUUGUUAAAAAGAUAAAUAAGUUGUUGUCAUUGGUUAUAAGUUUUGCCUAGAGGAUUCCAUUAUAGUUGACUGUUUUAUAGUUUUAAGGUUCUUUUUUUUAAUAAGCAUUUUUGUUACAAUAGAGAAAAAUCGCAAAAGACACUUCAAUGUCUUGCAGCAAAGAAUUUAAGGGGUGAAAUGCAUAAUGGAGGUAUAAAACUUAAUUUAUUAAGCAAUUAACGGACGGUUCAAAAAAUUUUAUGAUAACUUUUCUUUAAAAUAUGUUGAACCUAAUUCAUGUUUGCUAUUUCAUCAAUCUUGACUUGAAGAAAAAAUAUUUUUUGUAUAUAUUAUAUAUAUGUUCUACAACUUAUAGUGCUACCAUAGACAAAAACUGUAGAUGGCAAUUACAUUAGUGAAAGAAAAAAUAUAAAUCGAAGUACAUUCUUAAUACAUUUGCAUAUAUUACAUAUUUUUAAAGCAUUAAUAUUUCUCCUACCACAGCGUAGUGUGGACGCUAGUGCAUAUUCAGAAAAAAAUGUCAUCUUCUAUACAAACAAUAAAAUCAAAACUUUACAUUUGACCUUCAUUCCCUUGAUUGAGAGGAAAACUUAUACUGUAACUUCUUUUAAACGUGAAUUCAGUAACUCCAAAUCGUCUCGCCGUCUAAAUGUUGGUUGACUUGUUAUAGCUAGGAAAUUAACAAUAUACCAAUAGUGACCAAAGGAUCAUUAACCAAGGUUUUUUAAUGUUGCUUUCUCUGUUUCUGGCGGCUGUUGAGACAGCCCAUAAAGCCAUAACACUCCAAUCUGGAGCUAUUUUGUCGAAAACCAUUAGCCAACGCCAUCAGCUGAUGCCUCCAUGAAUGCCAUAUCAUGUCUCGGAACUCAUGCAGGGAAAUCAUUGCAGGACUUGCAUGAUAUUGAAAAUUUUUGAUUAAGUUGAAACAUCUGUCGUAUAUACGUCAGGCCUGUUCCAAACUCUGUUAUAUGAAGCCUAGGCUCUACACUAGAAUUUCUUGUGUUAGACCGUUCCAUUUCGGCGUGCGAUUAGAAGUUUCUAAACGAGACAACUAAAGGUAAUGAAAGGUUAGAGUCGAGAUUUUCUCUUGAGUUGAGCAUCUAUUCAAAGCUUGAUGUUGAUUCUUUGGCUAUAUUAUCACUGCAUUUACACAUUUUGUGGUAGUGAUUAUUUUAUCUUCUUUGAGAUAUUCAGGAUAUGUUGAAACUUGUCUAUCGUAAAGCACCCCUUUAAGAUGCAAAAUUUACUCUUUUCACUGUUUUUAGCUCUUUGAAAUAAGAUUAACAGCCCAAUUCGCCUCAGCGGAUUCUAACUUGAUCCGAACCUAUAGAAUUUUUUUUUUUUUUUG